rnacentral:rRNA from 1 species
AUGAACGCUAGCUACAGGCUUAACACAUGCAAGUCGAGGGGCAGCAUUUUAGUUUGCUUGCAAACUGAAGAUGGCGACCGGCGCACGGGUGAGUAACACGUAUCCAACCUGCCGAUAACUCCGGAAUAGCCUUUCGAAAGAAAGAUUAAUACCGGAUAGUAUACGAAUAUCGCAUGAUAUUUUUAUUAAAGAAUUUCGGUUAUCGAUGGGGAUGCGUUCCAUUAGUUUGUUGGCGGGGUAACGGCCCACCAAGACUACGAUGGAUAGGGGUUCUGAGAGGAAGGUCCCCCACAUUGGAACUGAGACACGGUCCAAACUCCUACGGGAGGCAGCAGUGAGGAAUAUUGGUCAAUGGGCGAGAGCCUGAACCAGCCAAGUAGCGUGAAGGAUGAAGGCUCUAUGGGUCGUAAACUUCUUUUAUAUGGGAAUAAAGUUUUCCACGUGUGGAAUUUUGUAUGUACCAUAUGAAUAAGGAUCGGCUAACUCCGUGCCAGCAGCCGCGGUAAUACGGAGGAUCCGAGCGUUAUCCGGAUUUAUUGGGUUUAAAGGGAGCGUAGGUGGAUUGUUAAGUCAGUUGUGAAAGUUUGCGGCUCAACCGUAAAAUUGCAGUUGAAACUGGGAGUCUUGAGUACAGUAGAGGUGGGCGGAAUUCGUGGUGUAGCGGUGAAAUGCUUAGAUAUCACGAAGAACUCCGAUUGCGAAGGCAGCUCACUAGACUGUUACUGACACUGAUGCUCGAAAGUGUGGGUAUCAAACAGGAUUAGAUACCCUGGUAGUCCACACAGUAAACGAUGAAUACUCGCUGUUUGCGAUAUACAGUAAGCGGCCAAGCGAAAGCAUUAAGUAUUCCACCUGGGGAGUACGCCGGCAACGGUGAAACUCAAAGGAAUUGACGGGGGCCCGCACAAGCAGUGGAGUAUGUGGUUUAAUUCGAAGCAACGCGAAGAACCUUACCAGGCCUUGACAUCCCUUGCAGAGGUAUAGAGAUAUAUCCGAGGUUAACAAGGAGACAGGUGGUGCAUGGUUGUCGUCAGCUCGUGCCGUGAGGUGUCGGCUUAAGUGCCAUAACGAGCGCAACCCUUAUCUUUAGUUACUAACAGGUUAUGCUGAGGACUCUAGAGAGACUGCCGUCGUAAGAUGUGAGGAAGGUGGGGAUGACGUCAAAUCAGCACGGCCCUUACGUCCGGGGCUACACACGUGUUACAAUGGGGGGUACAGAAGGCGGCUACCUGGUGACAGGAUGCUAAUCCCAAAAACCUCUCUCAGUUCGGAUCGAAGUCUGCAACCCGACUUCGUGAAGCUGGAUUCGCUAGUAAUCGCGCAUCAGCCAUGGCGCGGUGAAUACGUUCCCGGGCCUUGUACACACCGCCCGUCAAGCCAUGAAAGCCGGGGGUACCUGAAGUACGUAACCGCAAGGAGCGUCCUAGGGUAAAACUGGUAAUUGGGGCU